GAACUGAAGAGUUUGAUCAUGGCUCAGAUUGAACGCUGGCGGCAGGCCUAACACAUGCAAGUCGAGCGGAUGAAGGGAGCUUGCUCCUGGAUUCAGCGGCGGACGGGUGAGUAAUGCCUAGGAAUCUGCCUGGUAGUGGGGGAUAACGUCCGGAAACGGGCGCUAAUACCGCAUACGUCCUGAGGGAGAAAGUGGGGGAUCUUCGGACCUCACGCUAUCAGAUGAGCCUAGGUCGGAUUAGCUAGUUGGUGGGGUAAAGGCCUACCAAGGCGACGAUCCGUAACUGGUCUGAGAGGAUGAUCAGUCACACUGGAACUGAGACACGGUCCAGACUCCUACGGGAGGCAGCAGUGGGGAAUAUUGGACAAUGGGCGAAAGCCUGAUCCAGCCAUGCCGCGUGUGUGAAGAAGGUCUUCGGAUUGUAAAGCACUUUAAGUUGGGAGGAAGGGCAGUAAGUUAA
rnacentral:rRNA from 1 species